rnacentral:lncRNA from 1 species
GCAAAUCCUAUUGUUUUUAUCUUAUGACCAGGUGCUAAAUGCAAACAGUAUACAAUCUAGUAGCAUGAUUACGUGAUGAACUUCAACAAUGAUUGAGAACUAUGUACUUUUUUAGAUUGGAAUAGCAUUUAGUUUCAAAUUAAAAACCAUAAAUCUUAGUAUCAAUACAACAAAGGCAAGCCAAAUUAUUCUUAAACGCCAACACUCUCAUACUGCAACAAGGCAUGUUGCUUACCUACAUAUACCAAAAACAUCAAAAAGAAUUACAACAAAAAAGAACCCCGUCUUCGACUUUUUCCUAGGGGUAAAAAAAAAAAAAAAGAACACUUUUAAUCUUCAUUAUCCUCUUUUGCUACAGAGGAUCUUGCUUCAUGUCCUUGAGCACAGGGGACCAAUAGCUUGCGGCACCAUGCAUGCCAGCUGAUUUUCCUUCAGGACCAAGGCACCAUAUGAGGUUGGGACAUCUUUUACCUAGCCUCCAAUAGUUCAUUAUCAGAAAAAAGAAGGAGAAGUAGUCUCUUUAUAAGAAUCUUCCUCCUUUGUCAUGUUUCUAAUUGAUCAGAAUGCC